rnacentral:misc_RNA from 1 species
CUCCUGCUCGUCCCCACGAUUCGGCUCAGAAAACAGCGUACAGAGCCGGCAGAUCAGAUAAUAUAAUACGAGUACAACCGUCCCGGCCACCAGCCGGAUCGGGACGAGAGUGAGGAAAGCAAACACGAGGAGCGCCCGUUCCGUGAGCGGCAGAUCGCCGCGGCCCAUCGUGCCGUACGAAUCCCGCCGCACGUAAGCCGCGUACAGCCUCUCCAUCUCCUCGAUGGACUCAGCGGAGGGACGGG